rnacentral:rRNA from 1 species
AUCGAACGCUGGCGGCAGGCCUAAUACAUGCAAGUCGAGCGAGCGGCGGACGGGUGAGUAAUGUAUGGGGAUCUGCCUGACAGAGGGGGAUAACUACUGGAAACGGUGGCUACUACUGCAUACUACCCGAUCAGCCCAUAUGGGAUUAGCUAGUAGGGGGGGUAAAGGCUCACCGAGGCGACGAUCUCUAGCCGGUCAGAGAGGAUGAUCAGCCACACUGGGACUGAGAAACGGCCCAGACACCUACGGGAGGCAGCAGUAGGGAAGAUUGCGCAAUGGGCGCAAGCCUGAUAGAGCCAUGCCACGUGUGUGAAGAAGGGCUUCGGGUUGUAAGGUUCUUUCAUAAGGGAGGCGUUACCCGACCAAAAAGCAACGGCUAACUCCGUGCCAGCAGCCGCGGUAAUAC